rnacentral:rRNA from 1 species
AUUGAACGCUGGCGGCAGGCUUAACACAUGCAAGUCGAGCGGGGGAAGGUAGCUUGCUACCGGACCUAGCGGCGGACGGGUGAGUAAUGCUUAGGAAUCUGCCUAUUAGUGGGGGACAACAUCCCGAAAGGGAUGCUAAUACCGCAUACGUCCUACGGGAGAAAGCAGGGGAUCUUCGGACCUUGCGCUAAUAGAUGAGCCUAGGUCGGAUUAGCUAGUUGGUGGGGUAAAGGCCUACCAAGGCGACGAUCUGUAGCGGGUAUGAGAGAAUGAGCCGCAAAACUGGAGAUGGAAACCAGCCCAGACUCCGACGGGAAGCAGCAGUGGGGAAUAUUGGACAAUGGGGGGAACCCUGAUCCAGCCAUGCCGCAUGUGUGAAGAAGGCCUUAUGGUUGUAAAGCACUUUAAGCGAGGAGGAGGCUACUUUAGUUAAUACCUAGAGAUAGUGGACGUUACUCGCAGAAUAAGCACCGGCUAACUCUGUGCCAGCCGCCGCCGUAA